UGCAGUCGAGGGGGAUUAACUGGGUAGCAAUACUCGGUUAUGAGACCGGCAAACGGGUGCGGAACACGUACGCAACCUUCCCAAAACUGGUGAAUAGCCCUCCGAAAGGAGGAUUAAUACACCGUAACUUAAUGAAGUGGCAUCACUUUAUUAAUAUAGCUCCGGCGGUUUUGGAUGGGCGUGCGCCUGAUUAGGUAGUUGGCGGGGUAACGGCCCACCAAGCCUACGAUCAGUAACUGGUGUGAGAGCACGACCAGUCACACGGGCACUGAGACACGGGCCCGACUCCUACGGGAGGCAGCAGUAAGGAAUAUUGGUCAAUGGACGCAAGUCUGAACCAGCCAUGCCGCGUGAAGGAUGACGGCCCUCUGGGUUGUAAACUUCUUUUAUCUGGGACGAAAAAAGAUCAUUCUUGAUCACUUGACGGUACCAGAGGAAUAAGCACCGGCUAACUCCGUGCCAGCAGCCGCGGUAAUACGGAGGGUGCAAGCGUUAUCCGGAUUUACUGGGUUUAAAGGGUGCGUAGGUGGGCCUGUAAGUCAGUGGUGAAAUCUUCGAGCUUAACUCGGAAACUGCCAUUGAUACUAUAGGUCUUGAAUCAUCUGGAGGUGAGCGGAAUAUGUCAUGUAGCGGUGAAAUGCUUAGAUAUGACAUAGAACACCGAUUGCGAAGGCAGCUCACUACGGAUGUAUUGACACUGAGGCACGAAAGCGUGGGGAUCAAACAGGAUUAGAUACCCUGGUAGUCCACGCCCUAAACGAUGGAUACUCGACAUUUGCGAUAUACUGUAAGUGUCUGAGCGAAAGCAUUAAGUAUCCCACCUGGGAAGUACGAUCGCAAGAUGAAACUCAAAGGAAUUGACGGGGUCGCACAGCGGUGA
rnacentral:rRNA from 1 species